AGGACGAACGCUGGCGGCGUGCCUAACACAUGCAAGUCGAGCGAAGAAUACAUAAAGAAAUCUUCGGAUGGAAUUAUGUAUUUCUUAGCGGCGGACGGGUGAGUAACGCGUGAGGAACCUGCCUUGUACUAGGGGAUAGCCUCGGGAAACCGGGAUUAAUACCCUAUGAUACUUGAAAGUCGCAUGACUUUCAAGUCAAAGCGAUUUAGCGGUACAAGAUGACCUCGCGUCCCAUUAGCUAGUUGGCGAGGUAAUAGCUCACCAAGGCGACGAUGGGUAGCCGGCCUGAGAGGGUGAACGGCCACACUGGAACUGAGACACGGUCCAGACUCCUACGGGAGGCAGCAGUGGGGAAUAUUGCACAAUGGAGGAAACUCUGAUGCAGCGACGCCGCGUGAGCGAUGAAGGUUUUCGAAUCGUAAAGCUCUGUCCUAAGGGACGAUAAUGACGGUACCUUAGGAGGAAGCCCCGGCUAACUACGUG
rnacentral:rRNA from 1 species